rnacentral:rRNA from 1 species
UUAAAAAGCUCGUAGUUGAAUUUCGGAGUUUGUCGGUUGGUCGGGCUUCAUUGUCCGCACUGACCUGAUGGAUUCCUACCUUCUGAAUAACCAGCAUGCUAUUAAGUUAGUGCGUUGGGGAAGCAGAGCUAUUACCUUGAAAAAAUUAGAGUGCUUAAAGCAGGCUUAUGCUUGAAUAGAUUAGCAUGGAAUAAUAAAAUAGGACGGCAUGGUUCUAUUUUGUUGGUUUCUAGGAUCACCGUAAUGAUUAAUAGGGAUAGUUGGGGG